CCGUCCCACGACCUAUAGUAGCUCACCAAGGCGACGAUGCAGUAGCCGACCUGAGACGGGUGAUCGGCCGACACUGGGACUGAGACCAGGCCGCGUCGACCUACGGGAGGCAGCAGUAGGGAAUCUUCCGCAAUGGACGAAAGUCUGACGGAGCAACGCCGCGUGAGUGAUGAAAGGGUUUCGGCUCGUAAAACUCUGUUGUUAAGGAAGAAUACUUGAGGUAGUAAACUGGCCUUGAGAUGACGGUACUUAACCAGAAAGCCAACGGCUAACUACGUGCCAGCAGCCGCGGUAAUACGUAGGUGGCAAGCGUUAUCCGGAAUUAUUGGGCGUAAAGCGCGCGUAGGCGGUAAAAUAAGUCUGAUGUGAAAGACCCCCGGCUCAACCGGGGAGGGUCAUUGGAAACUGUUUUACUUGAGUACAGAAGAGGAGAGUGGAAUUCCAUGUGUAGCGGUGAAAAUGCGCAGAGAUAUGGAGGAACACCAGUGGCGAAGGCGGCUCUCUGGUCUGUUACUGACGCUGAGGUGCGAAAGGGUGGGGAUCAAACAGG
rnacentral:rRNA from 1 species